GAUGGAAACAGCCACCAUGUUGUGAGGACACUCAAUUAGCCUUGUGGAGAGACCCACAUGGGUGAGAAACUAAGGGCUGCCACCAACAGCCCACAUCCACUUGCCAGCUCUGAGAGCAAAUAGAUCCUGCAGGCCUAGUCAAGCCUCAUUUGACUGACGCCUCAGUCAACAUCUUGACUGCAAGCCCAUGCAAAACACUGAGCCAGAAACCACCCACCCAAGAAGCUGUGAAUUCCUGACUGGCAAAAAAUGCUGAGCAGAAAACCAGGAAAUGGAUGGACUCCACCUCCGCAGCCACGCCUGCCCGUUUGCGCUUACUGAACAGAGGUCCUCAGGAACGUGGUGCUCCACUGGAGGCUGCAGGUGGAUUAUCUUGUUUAAUCCUCACAACUUCCUAAUGAGAGCCCCUCUUCUUGGGCCUGCGAUUCCUCACCUGGAAGGGAGAAGAGUGGACUUCCUGCCUAGAGAACACCUUGGUAAACUCUUUGUGGUUCCUGUCAUGAGAAGGUGUGCAGCUUAGGGAAAAAGCCUGUGAGCUCUGGAAUCAGAUGGAACUGGAUA
rnacentral:lncRNA from 10 species